rnacentral:hammerhead_ribozyme from 2 species
AACCGAAACAGGGACAAGUUCCCUGUCUGCUGAGGAUAACCUCUCAGCACUGAUGAGGUAGGUUGAA